rnacentral:rRNA from 1 species
AUACGUAGGGGCCAAACGUUGUCCGGAUUUACUGGGCGUAAAGGGCGCGUAGGCGGAUUAGCAAGUCAGGCGUGAAAGCCCAGGGCUCAACCUCGGAACUGCCCUCAAAACUGGAUGACUAGAGUCCGGGAGAGGUUGGCGGAAUUCCUAGUGUAGAGGUGAAAUUCGUAGAUAUUAGGAAGAACACCAGUGGCGAAGGCGGCCACCUGGACGAUGACUGACGCUCAGACCCGAACGCGUGGGGAGCAAACAGGAUUAGAAACCCGGGUAGUCC